UAGCUCAGUUGGUUAGAGCGUGGUGCUGGUAACACCAGGGCUGUGAGUUCGAUCCCUGC
rnacentral:tRNA from 1 species